GGUCUUAUGGCGCAAUUGGUUAGCGCGUCCGGCUGUUAACCACCUUCUCUAAAGUUAAGCCUUUCCUCUGAGGGCAUUUGGAAUUGAGUUUAGCAACUUACCGGGAGGUUGAAAGUUCGAGUCUUUCUAGGACCG
rnacentral:tRNA from 1 species